rnacentral:rRNA from 1 species
AGAGUUUGAUCAUGGCUCAGAUUGAACGCUGGCGGCAUGCCUUACACAUGCAAGUCGAACGGUAACGCGGGGCAACCUGGCGACGAGUGGCGAACGGGUGAGUAAUGCAUCGGAACGUGCCCAGUAGUGGGGGAUAGCCCGGCGAAAGCCGGAUUAAUACCGCAUACGACCUACGGGUGAAAGCGGGGGACCGCAAGGCCUCGCGCUAUUGGAGCGGCCGAUGUCAGAUUAGGUAGUUGGUGGGGUAAAGGCCUACCAAGCCGACGAUCUGUAGCUGGUCUGAGAGGACGACCAGCCACACUGGGACUGAGACACGGCCCAGACUCCUACGGGAGGCAGC